rnacentral:rRNA from 1 species
UGGGGAAUCUUGCGCAAUGGGCGAAAGCCUGACGCAGCGACGCCGCGUGAGUGAUGAAGGCCUUCGGGUUGUAAAGCUCUGUGGAGAGGGACGAAUAAGUCGAAGCGAACAGCUUCGAUGAUGACGGUACCUCUUUAGCAAGCACCGGCUAACUCUGUGCCAGCAGCCGCGGUAAGACAGAGGGUGCGAACGUUGUUCGGAAUUACUGGGCGUAAAGCGCGUGUAGGCGGCUCUGCAAGUCGGAUGUGAAAGCCCUGGGCUCAACCUAGGAAGUGCACUCGAAACUGCAGAGCUUGAGGUCUGGAGAGGAAGGCGGAAUUCUCGGUGUAGAGGUGAAAUUCGUAGAUAUCGAGAGGAACACCGGUGGCGAAGGCGGCCUUCUGGACAGCAUCUGACGCUGAGACGCGAAAGCGUGGGGAGCAAACAGG